AUGCAUAGGCUAAUACAUAAAUGCAAAAGCCAGUAUUAUCUGGUCAUUUUCAACACAUGGCAGGGAGCAGAGCACGAUGGGCUUGAAGGUGCCUUCCAGACCAAGCCCUCUUGGCAUUCUGUGACAACACUGUCACCCCAAAUCUUGUUUUCUGGGAAUAAUCCUGGGAAAAUGGAAGGAAGCCAUUUCUCCCGGCUGUGGGGUGCUUGUGGGAGCCCUCACUGGGAAGGAAUUGUGUCAUGUCCCCGCCUGCCCGCCAGCUGCUACAGCGCGGACACCCAGAGGAAUGGCGGCUCUGUGGUCCCGGGGUUGUGGAAUCCCGGGAAUGCCCGCCAUCCUCACGGAAGAGCUGCUCGGCUUUAUUUUUCAUUUAUUUCCCUUGGGACAUUAAGCCUCUCCCGGCGCCCCCGUCCCGCUGCCCGCAGUGGUACAGCCCGCUGGCGCGCGCCAAUUGCGUCACCGCGCGUCGCCUGCGCCACCCGGAAGCGCUUUGGUGGCGGCGGAAAAGCGGCGCGUGCGGCUGGUUUUGUUUGUGGCCGGACCCGCCGCGGGGGCUCGUACGCGCCUCCCGCGGGGGCCUCCGCUCGCCGUCCCACGAUCGGCCCCAUGGCCUUCAACUUCAGCGCCACGGCGGGAGCCGGGGCCGCCAACCCGACCGGUGAGCGCGGGGGAAACGGGGCGCGGAGGGGCGGGACGGGGGGAGCCGAGCGGCGGGCAGCGCGUGCCCCCCCCCCCUCCUGGCCAAUGAGAGCCGCGGCGGCCGGCAGCGCGUGCCCCCUCGCCAAUGAAAACCGCGGCCGCCUCAAAGGGCCGCGCGUGCCCCCCGGCCAAUGGGGAAUCGUGACGGCGGCUCGCGCGUGUUCCCCUCGUACCGCUCUCCCCGCGCCAGCGAGAACGGCGGCGGCCGGCAGCGCGUGCCCCCCCGCCAGUGGGAAUCACUGCCGCCUCAGGGACCCGCGUGUGCCCCCCCACCAAUUGGAAUCGCGGCCCCCUGAGGGACCCGCGCGUGCUCCCCCGCCAGUGAGACCGGCGGCGGCGGCCCGCGCGUGCCCUGCGGCCAAUGGAACCGGCGGUGGCGGGCAGCGCGUGCCCCCCAGCCAAUGGAAGCCGCGACUGCCUCAGAGGCGCCGUCCCGCGCCCCGCGCGGCCCCCGGUGGGUCCGGGAGCGGCUCUUGA
rnacentral:lncRNA from 1 species